rnacentral:rRNA from 1 species
UACUGAAGGCCAGGCUGAAGACUUUGCCGGAUUAGCUGAGAGGUGGUGCAUGGCCGUCGUCAGUUCGUACUGUGAAGCAUCCUGUUAAGUCAGGCAACGAGCGAGACCCACGCCCACAGUUGCCAGCGUACUCUCCGGAGUGACGGGUACACUGUGGGACCGCCGCUGCUAAAGCGGAGGAAGGAAUGGGCAACGGUAGGUCAGUAUGCCCCGAAUAUCCCGGGCUACACGCGAGCUACAAUGGUUGGUACAAUGGGUAUCUACCCCGAAAGGGGACGGGAAUCUCCUAAAACCAAUCUUAGUUCGGAUUGAGGGCUGCAACUCGCCCUCAUGAAGCUGGAAUCCGUAGUAAUCGCGUUUCAACAGAACGCGGUGAAUACGUCCCUGCUCCUU